AGCUUCUUCGCCACAACUUCCGGGAACACUUAGCCGCCUCACGCUGCGCCACCGGCGGUGCCGGGCUGGAGCCCCGCGGAGGAUGCCGGGAGCGUGGUUCCCGCGGCCCCACCGCCUCAUGGGAGUUGUGGUUUUCCCGCCUCUUCUCUCAGCUUUCGUCCAAGGCUUUGGUCUGGCUCCCCCUUGUUCUGAGCCCAAAGCCUACCCGCUAGUAACCAAACCGUGUGAGGAUGGACCCUCGUUGUGAGACCUGUGGGAGAAGUCUCUUUGUGGCGUUGAUGCUGGUCUUCUGUUACACACCAGAAAGGGAAGCCGGAGUGAACGUGGAGAGAUUUUUGAAGCAAGCUUGAGCUCUGAUGUCCUUCACGCUGCUGACUCUGGCAUUGCUGUUGCCGUGGAGCUGUGAUUGUAAUCAUGAUCUCGGCAGGCAUAUCACAGCUCAGAGUUAUACUGCAGAUGGUUGACACCUAAGCCAACAGAAAAUGUGCAUAAUCCCUGGGAUAACAGAUCCUUAUAAAUCCUCCAGAGACAGCAGGACAUGCAACCCAUACCCAAGCUGUUUUAAUUUCUGCAAAUUCCAAACUAGUUAGACAGUAAAGGAUCAAAGACAGGCAUUUAAAUAACAAUAAAAAGGUAGGCUGAUUUUACAUA